GUGAGGAAUAUUGCGCAAUGGAGGCAACUCUGACGCAGCCAUGCCGCGUGCAGGAAGAAGGCGCUACGCGUUGUAAACUGCUUUUAACCGGGAAGAAACCCCAGGACGUGUCCUGGGUUGACGGUACCGGAGGAAUAAGCACCGGCUAACUUCGUGCCAGCAGCCGCGGUAAUACGAAGGGUGCAAGCGUUAUCCGGAUUCAUUGGGUUUAAAGGGUGCGUAGGCGGAGCGUUAAGUCAGUGGUGAAAUCCUGCAGCUUAACUGUAGACUUGCCAUUGAUACUGGCGCUCUUGAGUGCGCUUGAAGUGGGCGAAAUGUGCCGUGUAGCGGUGAAAUGCUUAGAUAUGGCACAGAACACCAAUUGCGAAGGCAGCUCACUAAGGCGAUACUGACGCUGAGGCACGAAAGCGUGGGGAUCGAACAGGAUUAGAAACCCGGGUAGUCC
rnacentral:rRNA from 1 species